AAAUCAGACUGAGUUUGAUCUGU
rnacentral:snRNA from 1 species